GAUGAACGCUGGCGGCGUGCCUAAUACAUGCAAGUCGAGCGAACAGACGAGGCGCUUGCUCCUCUGACGUUAGCGGCGGACGUGUGAGUAACACGUGGAUAACCUACCUAUAAGACUGGGAUAACUUCGGGAAACCGGAGCUAAUACCGGAUAAUAUAUUGAACCGCAUGGUUCAAUAGUGAAAGACGGUUUUGCUGUCACUUAUAGAUGGAUCCGCGCCGCAUUAGCUAGUUGGUAAGGUAACGGCUUACCAAGGCAACGAUGCGUAGCCGACCUGAGAGAGUGAUCGGCCACACUGGAACUGAGACACGGUCAAGACGCCUACGGGAGGCAGCAGUAGGGAAUCUUCCGCAAUAGGCGAAAGCCUGACGGAGCAACGCCGCGUGAGUGAUGAAGGUCUUCGGAUCGUAAAACUCUGUUAUUAGGGAAGAACAAAUGUGUAAGUAACUAUGCACGGCUUGACGGUACCUAAUCAGAAAGCCACGGCUAACUACGUG
rnacentral:rRNA from 1 species